UGUGAGACUUGCACUUUUUCUUAG
rnacentral:misc_RNA from 1 species